rnacentral:rRNA from 1 species
AUUGAACGCUGGCGGAAUGCUUUACACAUGCAAGUCGAACGGUAGAGGGGGCAACCCCUUGAGAGUGGCGAACGGGUGAGUAAUAUAUCGGAACGUGCCCAGUCGUGGGGGAUAACGUAGUGAAAAUUACGCUAAUACCGCAUACGAUCUAAGGAUGAAAGCGGGGGAUCGCAAGACCUCGCGCGAUUGGAGCGGCCGAUAUCAGAUUAGGUAGUUGGUAGGGUAAAGGCCUACCAAGCCAACGAUCUGUAGCUGGUCUGAGAGGACGACCAGCCACCCUGGAACUGAGACACGGUCCAGACUCCUACGGGAGGCAGCAGUGGGGAAUUUUGGACAAUGGGCGAAAGCCUGAUCCAGCCAUUCCGCGUGCGGGAAGAAGGCCUUCGGGUUGUAAACCGCUUUUGUCAGGGAAGAAACGCUUCGAGCUAAUACCUCGGAGUAAUGACGGUACCUGGAGAAUAAGCACCGGCUAACUACGUGCCAGCAGCCGCCGUAA